GCCUUGGUGGUCUAGUGGUAUGAUUGUCGCUUCGGGUGAAAAAUCCCCAUCACGAUACACGUGGAUGUGACAGGUCCCGGGUUCAAAUCCCGGCUAAGGCC